rnacentral:misc_RNA from 1 species
AGAGGACGGCGUGUGUGCUACAA